rnacentral:lncRNA from 1 species
UGGAGAUUGCUGUAUGUAUUUUAUCAAUCCUUUGAGAGCUGUUGAGCUCCAGGCCUCAAAUUAAAGUUAUCCUUAAUCACUGUGCAAGCCAUUGGGGUGGACGGUAGCACAGCAACCUUCUAUUUUCUGAUGCAGGACAGUUUGGGAGCUGCAGGUUUGCCACAAAUUACCAACAACACUUGGUUCCUGGAAGCAUCCUCACAGGCCUGGCAAGGAGCCUGAGUCUGCAGCAGAGAGAUGUGGCAAAGAGGAAGUAAAUGUGGAGCAGAGCAUGUGCCUGAAAGACUGCAGGUUUUUGGCUGCUCUCUGAGGUCAGCACUGCUGAAGGGAGGCCUGUUGCCUUCUCCAGGACUGGAAGCUCCUGCAGCAGCAGGAGGUGAGUCCUUCCCCUCAGGCUGUGCCCCUGCUGUUGGGGGGCAUGGGUGCAGUCGGUGCAGGUUUUCUCUGCCACUCUUAUUUCAGGCUGUCACUGACUCCAGAAGAUGCAGCAGAGCCCUUGUGGCCACAGGCUUAAGGCACGCCCUUAGCUAAGGAAUCUGCCCUGUUUGUCCACACCAAGGUUUUACCCUCCCAAAUGGUAUUCCUCAGCAUUAAACCUGUGGGCAGGUGGGUCCUUCCCACAUCUCUCUGCUUUGCUGUGAAGCUGCCCUUGUGUUUCCAGUCUGCUCUCCCUCUCCAUGUCUGUAAGGCUUGCUGUGUGUAAAGGCAGAUGGAGAAAAUGAAUCGGCCCCAGAAGACGGAAGAAGAGCCAGGUGAGGAGGCUACACCUGUGCUAGAGAGGAGCCAUCAGGAGGAGGACCUGCAGUUCCAAGGGAAACACAGCCCCUCCAUGGCACCAGUGGAUUCUCCCAGGGUUUUCCAGCUCUCUCUGUCUGCUGAGGCAGUGUUGAUUCAGGUCCAAGGAAAAGGGGGAGGUUUUAUCAACAUGAACCCCCUGAUGGGGAUCCAUCAGGUGUGUAACAACACUUCUCGGACUGCUGUGUCCUCUAGGGAUAGGAAAUGCUAAUUAUUAUUAAUGACACCCUGUGACUUUUAUUAUUAACAAUUCUAAUUAAUUGGAUUAUUGCUAUUUCUUCUCUUGGGGGUGGCACACAGAAGUGAUGGGCAUUGCUUUGAAUACAGAAGAGGGAAAAGAGGGACCUCAGGUGAUGUUAUUUGGGUAAUAUAAAGUGACAGAGGUGACAGAUCUGGGAGACUGGUCCUAGAGGGAGCAGGGAUUAGCAAUGCCGGCACCAAACCCUACACAGACUGGGUGGUUUUGCUAUUUUCCAGCUAUAAAGACAUAAAAGACUAAAACUAGUGCUUAAUCCUAGCACUCCUUAGGCUGUGCCUGAAUCAAUGAUGAGUCUCUCCAGGUUUUUGUACAGGCAAGGCUAAGGCCAGGAGAAAACUGGCAGCAGACAGUGUCUGCACACGGCACAAGAGUGCCUUUGUCCCCAAAUCUUUGUCUUGUCACGCUCGGUCAGACAAUCCAUGGUGAUGCCCAACACAUCUGCCCAUCACACCAGUUCCUCCUUGCCUUGAGCUUGGCAUGAGAUAGUCUUCCUUGUGGUGAGACCCAUCAUUAAAUGUAUGGCACAGCACCAGCUCACCAAAAAUAGCUCUGAAGAAAGAGAG